UGGACGUUGACCUUCUCUCCUCUGGUAGUUUAAGGUCAGGACCCUGUCCCUGGACGUUGACCUUCUCUCCUCUGGUAGUUUAAGGUCAGGACCCUGUCCCUGGACGUUGACCUACUCCCCUCUGGUAGUUUAAGGUCAGGACCCUGUCCCUGGACGUUGACCUUCUCUCCUCUGGUAGUUUAAGGUCAGGACCCUGUCCCUGGACGUUGACCUUCUCUCCUCUGGUAGUUUAAGGUCAGGACCCUGUCCCUGGACGUUGACCUUCUCUCCUCUGGUAGUUUAAGGUCAGGACCCUGUCCCUGGACGUUGACCUACUCCCCUCUGGGCGCAGGUAUAGGGCACCCCUCAGCAGGAAAACCAGAACUUGACAAUAAUUUGAGUGAGGUGUGAUAUCCCUCCUCAAUAGCUUGAGCUAAUGUUCCUAUCCACCCAGUAAGAACAGCAGGCUGAUGUUCCUAUAGACCCAGUAAGAACAGCAGGCUAAUGUUCCUAUAGACCCAGUAAGAACAGCAGGCUAAUGUUCCUAUAGACCCAGUAAGACCAGCAGGCUAAUGUUCCUAUAGACCCAGUAAGACCAGCAGGCUAAUGUUCCUAUAGACUCAGUAAGACCAGCAGGCUAAUGUUCCUAUAGACCCAGUAAGACCAGCAGGCUAAUGUUCCUAUAGACCCAGUAAGACCAGCAGGCUAAUGUUCCUAUAGACUCAGUAAGACCAGCAGGCUAAUGUUCCUAUAGACCCAGUAAGACCAGCAGGCUAAUGUUCCUAUAGACCCAGUAAGACCAGCAGGCUAAUGUUCCUAUAGACUCAGUAAGACCAGCAGGCUAAUGUUCCUAUAGACCCAGUAAGACCAGCAGGCUAAUGUUCCUAUAGACUCAGUAAGACCAGCAGGCUAAUGUUCCUAUAGACUCAGUAAGACCAGCAGGCUAAUGUUCCUAUAGACUCAGUAAGACCAGCAGGCUAAUGUUCCUGUAGACCCAGUAAGACCAGCAGGCUAAUGUUCCUAUAGACUCAGUAAGACCAGCAGGCUAAGGUUCCUAUAGACCCAGUAAGACCAGCAGGCUGAUGUUCCUAUAGACCCGGUAAGACCAGCAGGCUGAUGUUCCUAUAGACUCAGUAGGACCAGCAGGCUAAUGUUCCUAUAGACUCAGUAAGACCAGCAGGCUAAUGUUCCUAUAGACCCAGUAAGACCAGCAGGCUAAUGUUCCUAUAGACUCAGUAAGACCAGCAGGCUAAUGUUCCUAUAGACUCAGUAAGACCAGCAGGCUAAUGUUCCUAUAGACCCAGUAAGACCAGCAGGCUAAUGUUCCUAUAGACUCAGUAAGACCAGCAGGCUAAUGUUCCUAUAGACCCAGUAAGACCAGCAGGCUAAUGUUCCUAUAGACCCAGUAAGACCAGCAGGCUAAUGUUCCUAUAGACUCAGUAAGACCAGCAGGCUAAUGUUCCUAUAGACUCAGUAAGACCGGCAGGCUAAUGUUCCUAUAGACUCAGUAAGACCAGCAGGCUAAUGUUCCUAUAGACCCAGUAAGACCAGCAGGCUAAUGUUCCUAUAGACUCAGUAAGACCAGCAGGCUAAUGUUCCUAUAGACCCAGUAAGACCAGCAGGCUAAUGUUCCUAUAGACUCAGUAAGACCAGCAGGCUAAUGUUCCUAUAGACUCAGUAAGGCCAGCAGGCUAAUGUUCCUAUAGACCCAGUAAGACCAGCAGCCUAAUGUUCCUAUAGACUCAGUAAGACCAGCAGGCUAAUGUUCCUAUAGACUCAGUAGGACCAGCAGCCUAAUGUUCCUAUAGACCAACAGGCUAAUGUUCCUAUAGACCCAGUAAGACCAGCAGCCUAAUGUUCCUAUAGACUCAGUAAGGCCAGCAGGCUAAUGUUCCUAUAGACCCAGUAAGACCAGUAGGCUAAUGUUCCUAUAGACCCAGUAAGACCAACAGGCUAAUGUUCCUAUAGACCCAGUAAGACCAGCAGGCUAAUGUUCCUAUAGACUCAGUAAGACCAGCAGGCUAAUGUUCCUGUAGACCCAGUAAGACCAGCAGGCUAAUGUUCCUAUAGACUCAGUAAGACCAGCAGGCUAAUGUUCCUAUAGGCCCAGUAAGACCAGCAGGCUAAUGUUCCUAUAGACUCAGUAAGACCAGCAGGCUAAUGUUCCUAUAGACCCAGUAAGACCAGCAGGCUAAUGUUCCUAUAGACUCAGUAAGACCAGCAGGCUAAUGUUCCUAUAGACUCAGUAAGGCCAGCAGGCUAAUGUUCCUAUAGACCCAGUAAGACCAGCAGCCUAAUGUUCCUAUAGACUCAGUAAGACCAGCAGGCUAAUGUUCCUAUAGACUCAGUAGGACCAGCAGGCUAAUGUUCCUAUAGGCCCAGUAAGACCAGCAGGCUGAUGUUCCUAUAGACUCAGUAAGACCAGCAGGCUAAUGUUCCUAUAGACCCAGUAAGACCAGCAGGCUAA